UUCAUACUUCCAGUAAAAAAAUAAAAUUGGGGUUGUAUUCACGGUAUAAUAUAACAUAGCAUUACAAUUUGCAUAGCAGGACUUCCUCAGAGAGUUGUAUUUUGAAGUUCUUUUACGCUAUAGCCUGACAAGGAUUGAUCAAGCAACUAAGCACACUUUUGCCUUGUUCCGGAUAUUUUUUUUGUUUGCCUAAGAUUGCUAGCCUCCAUGAUAGCUUUGGUGGAAAUAUGUACUGAAGAUCUGUGUUAUCAAUCCUUGUUCUUUAUGGGACCACCACCAGAUUCAUCUAACAACUACCAUCCAGGCCCAUCUCAGAACCUACCAUCUCCUCUCCUCCUUCCGGAGAUGUUUAAACUUACUGGCCCGUAGGAUCUCCACCUUCCAACAGACAACUAUAAUAUUGGAACAGUAACAUUACCUUUUUCUCUUUCCUCUCCUUUGUUCUUAAUUUCCACUCCCCCACCUCAUCCCGCAAAGAUUGAAAAGAACUAACACUACACUAAUUUUAAAUGAAUUUGCAGGUUUCUUGUUUGUAACGAGACAAUUGGAGAGGGAGAGAAAUUCAAAUUCAUAUUCACAUGUCAAUUCAAGCUUUAUGAAUUUAGGUCAGAAGAUCAGCUCGUAGAUGUGUAUGCUCUUCAGGAUACAGUUUUGGUGGAUAUGUGUGCGUUUAGACUUUGAGUAGAUUGUUUAUAAGGUGAUGCCCAGAUCUGCAACCAUUGGUGUCAAUUGAUGGAUAAUGAUAACUCUGAUGGUUACUUUUGAGUUCUGUUAUAAUAUCAGCACGACGGGGUUUUGUUGUUGUACCAACUGCUAGUUAGAAUGGUGGCUAUGGUGGGUGAGCAUUUUAAGCACCAAACAUCUAAUAUGCUGAACUUUUCUUAUUAUAGUCGUAGGGAUGUAUAGUCGUUAGUUUUACCUAUGUCGGGAUCAUGGCAAAGCAGGAUCCAUUAAGCUAUCCAUGUUUUAGCUUUCGGUUUUAUGUACUUGUUAAUUAACUGAUGGAAGGAAGAAUGAAUAGAAUUUUAUUUGAUCACAUUCACUCCAG
rnacentral:lncRNA from 1 species